GCUCCAAUAGCGUAUAUUAAAGUUUGUUGCGGUUAAAAAAGCUCGUAGUUGGAUUUCUGCUGAGGACGACCGGUCCGCCUCUGGGUGAGCAUCUGGCUCGCUUGGCAUCUUCUUGGAGAACGUAUCUGCACUUCAUUGUGUGGUGCGGUAACCAGGACUUUUUACUUUGAGGAAAUUAGAGUGUUUCAAGCAGGCGUGCG
rnacentral:rRNA from 1 species